GACGAACGCUGGCGGCGUGCUUAACACAUGCAAGUCGAACGGAAAGGCCCUGCUUUUGUGGGGUGCUCGAGCGGCGAACGGGUGAGUAACACGUGAGUAACCUGCCCUUGACUUUGGGAUAACUUCAGGAAACUGGGGCUAAUACCGGAUAGGAGCUCCUGCUGCAUGGUGGGGGUUGGAAAGUUUCGGCGGUUGGGGAUGGACGCGCGGCUUAUCAGCUUGUUGGUGGGGUAGUGGCUUACCAAGGCUUUGACGGGUAGCCGGCCUGAGAGGGUGACCGGCCACAUUGGGACUGAGAUACGGACCAGACUCCUACGGGAGGCAGCAGUGGGGAAUAUGGCACAAUGGGCGGAAGCCUGAUGCAGCAACGCCGCGUGCGGGAUGACGGCCUUCGGGUUGUAAACCGCUUUCGCCUGUGACGAAGCGUGAGUGACGGUAAUGGGUAAAGAAGCACCGGCUAACUACGUG
rnacentral:rRNA from 1 species